rnacentral:rRNA from 1 species
GAUGAACGCUGGCGGCGUGCCUAAUACAUGCAAGUCGAGCGGACGGACGAGAAGCUUUCUUAUCUGAUGGUAGCGGCGGACGGGUGAGUAAGACGUGGAUAACCUACCUAUAUUACGGGGAUAACUUCGGGAAACCGUAGCUAAUGCCGGAUAAUAUUUUGAACGGCAUGGUUCAAAAGUGAAUGACGGUCUUGCUGUCACUUAUAGAUGGAUCCGCGCUGCAUUAGCUAGUUGGUAAGGUAACGGCUUACCAAGGCAACGAUGCAUAGCCGACCUGAGAGGAUGAUCGGCCACACUGGAACUGAGACACGGUCCAGACUCCUACGGGAGGCAGCAGUAGGGAAUAUUCCACAAUGGGCGAAAGCCUGACGGAGCAACGCCGCGUGAGUGAUGAAGGUCUUCGGAUCGUAAAGCUCUGUUAUUAGGGAAGAACAUAUGUGUAAGUAUCUCUGGACAUCUUGACGGUACCUAAUCAGAAAGCAACGGCUAACUACGUG